GGAUCAUUACAGAGUCUUGUACUCCCAAACCCUUUGUCUACCUUACCUUUUCGUUGCUUCGGCAGGGGGCUCCAGGGGGAGCCGCCUUGGGUGCCUGCCGAAGGUAUACCAAAACUCUUGCUAUUAUAAUGAAGCUCUGAGUAACUUAUUAAAUAAGUCAAAACUUUCAACAACGGAUCUCUUGGUUCUGGCAUCGAUGAAGAACGCAGCGAAAUGCGAUAAGUAAUGUGAAUUGCAGAAUUCAGUGAAUCAUCGAAUCUUUGAACGCACAUUGCGCCCGCCAGUAUUCUGGCGGGCAUGCCUGUUCGAGCGUCAUUUCAACCCUCAAGCUCUGCUUGGUGUUGGGGAGCCUACUGCUGUUAGGCCCCCUAAAUAUAGUGGCGGACCCGCUGGAAGUCCGAGCGCAGUAGUUUUCUCUCGCUCUGGAGGACCUGGCGGUUGCCUUGCCGUUAAACCCCCAAACUUUUAAAGGUUGACCUCGGAUCAGGUAGGAAUACCCGCUGAACUUAAGCAUAUCAAUAAGCGGAGGAAAAGAAACCAACAGGGAUUGCCUCAGUAACGGCGAGUGAAGCGGCAACAGCUCAAAUUUGAAAUCUGGCUUCGGCCCGAGUUGUAGUUUGUAGAGGAUGCUUUUGGCGCGGUGCCUUCCAAGUUCCCUAGGACGGGACGCCAUAGAGGGUGAGAGCCCCGUAUGGUCGGAUACUAAGCCUCUGUAAAGCUCCUUCGACGAGUCGAGUAGUUUGGGAAUGCUGCUCAAAAUGGGAGGUAUAUUUCUUCUAAAGCUAAAUACCGGCCAGAGACCGAUAGCGCACAAGUAGAGUGAUCGAAAGAUGAAAAGCACUUUGAAAAGAGGGUUAAAUAGCACGUGAAAUUGUUGAAGGGGAAGCGCCCGUGACCAGACUUGCACCUUUUGAAUCAUCCAGCGUUCUCGCUGGUGCACUUCAUUUGGUUCAGGCCAGCAUCGGUUUCCGCUGCGGGAUAAAAGCUCUAGGAAUGUGGCUCCCCCGGGAGUGUUAUAGCCUAGUGUAUAAUGCCGCUGUGGGGACCGAGGU
rnacentral:rRNA from 1 species